UACGAAGGGGGCUAGCGUUGCUCGGAAUCAUUGGGCGUAAAGCGCACGUAGGCGGUCUGUUAUGUCGGAUGUGAAAGCCCUUGGCUUAACUGAGGAAGUGCAUCCGAAACUGGCAGGCUAGAGUACUAAAGAGGGUCGCGGAAUUCCUGGUGUAGCGGUGAAAUGCGCAGAUAUCAGGAGGAACACCGGUGGCGAAGGCGGGACUCUGGGCCGAUACUGACGCUGAGGAGCGAAAGCGUGGGGAGCGAACAGG
rnacentral:rRNA from 1 species